UACAGAGGUCCCAAGCGUUGUUCGGAUUCACUGGGCGUAAAGGGUGCGUAGGUGGCCAGGUAAGUUCGGUGUGAAAGCUCGGAGCUUAACUCCGAAAUGGCAUUGAAUACUAUCUGGCUAGAGGGUCGGAGGGGAGACUGGAAUUCUCGGUGUAGCAGUGAAAUGCGUAGAUAUCGGGAGGAACACCUGAGGCGAAGGCGGGCUACUGGGCUGAUACUGACGCUGAGGCGCGAAAGCUAGGGGAGCAAACAGG
rnacentral:rRNA from 1 species